ACGCUAUCACUCCUACGGGAGGCAGCAGUGGGGAAUAUUGCACAAUGGGGGAAACCCUGAUGCAGCCAUGCCGCGUGUGUGAAGAAGGCCUUCGGGUUGUAAAGCACUUUCAGUAGGGAGGAAGGUAGUGUAGUUAACAUCUGCAUUAUUUGACGUUACCUACAGAAGAAGCACCGGCUAACUCCGUGCCAGCAGCCGCGGUAAUACGGAGGGUCCAAGCGUUAUCCGGAUUUAUUGGGUUUAAAGGGUCCGCAGGCGGGAUAUUAAGUCAGUGGUGAAAGCCUACAGCUUAACUGUAGCACUGCCAUUGAUACUGGUAUUCUUGAGUGUGGUUGAAGUGGGCGGAAUAUGUCAUGUAGCGGUGAAAUGCAUAGAUAUGACAUAGAACACCUAUUGCGAAGGCAGCUCACUAAGCCAUUACUGACGCUCAGGGACGAAAGCGUGGGGAGCAAACAGGAUUAGAUACCCUGGUAG
rnacentral:rRNA from 1 species